rnacentral:rRNA from 1 species
AGUGAACGCUGGCGGUAGGCCUAACACAUGCAAGUCGAACGGCAGCACAGUAAGAGCUUGCUCUUACGGGUGGCGAGUGGCGGACGGGUGAGGAAUACAUCGGAAUCUACUUUUUCGUGGGGGAUAACGUAGGGAAACUUACGCUAAUACCGCAUACGACCUACGGGUGAAAGCAGGGGAUCUUCGGACCUUGCGCGAUUGAAUGAGCCGAUGUCGGAUUAGCUAGUUGGCGGGGUAAAGGCCCACCAAGGCGACGAUCCGUAGCUGGUCUGAGAGGAUGAUCAGCCCCCCUGGAACUGAGACACGGUCCAACCCCCUCCGGGGGGCAGCGGGGGGGAAUUUUGGACAAUGGGCGCAAGCCUGACCCAGCCAUACCGCGUGGGUGAAGAAGGCCUUCGGGUUGUAAAGCCCUUUUGUUGGGAAAAAAAAGCAGCAGGUUAAUACCCCGCUGUUCUGACGGUACCCAAAGAAUAAGCACCGGCUAACUUCGU